GUGGCAUUUCCAGCGCGUUUGGUCACAAAAGCUCCGGAUUGAAUGGCUUAGCAUCCCUCUCUGCCUCUCCUUGCAUCACAAAGCUCAGAAGCGCCAUUUGAAGUUUCAAAAGGAAUGUUUUUUUGUGAAUGAGAUAAUCAGCGCCGACUAAUCUGCCACGCGCCCCUCCUUGUAAUCCACACACCUCCAGCUGAGGGAACAAAACCGGGUCCAGCUAAUCCCGCGGGGUCCUGCCUUGAAGCUGUUGCACGGCCCCUGUGGCAGGAGAGGAGGAUUGAGCCACGAGGCACGUCUGGGUCCCCACAAUGAUGGGACAGAGGUGACCCCAUUGAGCAGCCACGCAGGAUCCAUGUGGGAAAGCUCCUGCUACCACGAGCCCCAGAGCUCUGAGCCCUGCAGGUGGGACAGGGAGGUGAAACCACUUCCCAGCCCAUAAAUGGUGCCAGGCUGCUGCGCUGAGAGUUGCAGGACCAGGGGGAAGGGAAAACCCUCGUGCUCAGAGUACCCGAGGAGAAGGGAGAGGAGCUGUGCUGGAGUCUGGGCUGCUCAUGCAUUUCACAUACAGAGCCACUGGAUCAAACAAACAGCAAAGCCCCAGGAGAAAUCCCAGAGGCCCUUAAAUCCCAUAUUUCCUCAUUGCUAUGGAAGAAGCAUGCGCUGCGCGGGGAAAGGUGAGC